rnacentral:rRNA from 1 species
UUCCGGUUGAUCCUGCCGGACCCGACUGCUAUUUGGGUGAGGAUAAGCCAUGCGAGUUGAAUGGGAUAGCUAAAGUUCCCAUGGCAAACUGCUCAGUAACACAUGAUCAACUUACCCUAUAGAGAAAAAUAACCUCGGGAAACUGAGGAUAAUGUUUCAUAGUUGAAUUGGCUUGGAAAAGUUUUUCGACGAAAGGGGUAAAAAAAAUGGUUUUUAUCUGCUAUAGGAUAGGAUCGUGUUCGAUUAUGGUUGUUGGUGAGGUAAUGGCUCACCAAGCCGAUAAUCGAUAGGGGCCGUGAGAGCGGGAGCCCCGAGAUGGGUACUGAGACAACGACCCAGGCCUUACGAGGCGCAGCAGGCGCGAAACCUCCGCAAUACACGAAAGUGUGACGGGGUUACCCAAAGUGUUCAGUUUUGAACUGUGGUAGGUGAGUAAUGUCCCCUACUAGAAAGGAGAGGGCAAGGCUGGUGCCAGCCGCCGCGGUAAAACCAGCUCUUCAAGUGGUCGGGAUAAUUAUUGGGCUUAAAGUGUCCGUAGCCGGUUUAGUAAGUUCCUGGUAAAAUCGGGUAGCUUAACUAUCUAUAUGCUAGGAAUACUACUUUACUAGAGGGCGGGAGAGGUCUGAGGUACUACAGGGGUAGGGGUGAAAUCUUAUAAUCCUUGUUGGACCACCAGUGGCGAAGGCGUCAGACUGGAACGCGCCUGACGGUGAGGGACGAAAGCCAGGGGAGCGAACCGGAUUAGAUACCCGGGUAGUCCUGGCCGUAAACUAUGCAUACUAGUGAUGGCACGGCCAUGAGCCGUGUCAGUGCCGUAGGGAAACCGUUAAGUGUGACGCCUGGGAAGUACUGUCGCAAGGCUAAAACUUACAUGAAUUGGCGGGGAGCAGCUACAAGGGGGUGAAGCUUGCAGAUCAAUUGGAUUCAACGCUGGG